rnacentral:rRNA from 1 species
AGCAGCCGCGGUAAUUCCAGCUCCAAUAGCGUAUAUUAAAGUUGUUGCAGUUAAAAAGCUCGUAGUUGAAUUUCGGGAUCAAUAUGUUGGUCGUGCCUUGGUACGUACUAGUUUAUUGGUUUCUUCCUUCUGACGAACCAUGAUGUCAUUAAUUUGGUGUCUUGGGGAAUCAGGACUGUUACUUUGAAAAAAUUAGAGUGUUUAAAGCAGGCUCACGCUUGAAUACAUUAGCAUGGAAUAAUGAAAUAGGACGUUUGAUUCUAUUUUGUUGGUUUCUAGGAUCGACGUAAUGAUUAAUAGGGAUAGUUGGGGGCAUUAGUAUUCAAUUGUCAGAGGUGAAAUUCUUGGAUUUAUUGAAGACUAACUACUGCGAAAGCAUUUGCCAAGGAUGUUUUCAUUAAUCAAGAACGAAAGUUAGGGGAUCGAAGACGAUCAGAUAACCGUCGUAGUCUUAACCAUAAACUAUGCCGACUAGGGAUCGGAUGAUGUUAAUUUUUAAUGACUCAUUCGGCGCUUACGG